AGAGUUUGAUCCUGGCUCAGAUUGAACGCUGGCGGAAUGCUUUACACAUGCAAGUCGAACGGCAGCACGGGAGCUUGCUCCUGGUGGCGAGUGGCGAACGGGUGAGUAACAUAUCGGAACAUAUCCUAUCGUGGGGGAUAACUAGUCGAAAGACUAGCUAAUACCGCAUACGUCCUGAGGGAGAAAGCGGGGGCUCGCAAGACCUCGCGCGAUUGGAGUGGCCGAUAUCUGAUUAGCUAGAUGGUGAGGUAAAAGCUCACCAUGGCGACGAUCAGUAGCUGGUUUGAGAGGAUGAUCAGCCACACUGGGACUGAGACACGGCCCAGACUCCUACGGGAGGCAGCAGUGGGGAAUUUUGGACAAUGGGCGAAA
rnacentral:rRNA from 1 species